GUGGGGAAUAUUGGACAAUGGGCGAAAGCCUGAUCCAGCCAUGCCGCGUGUGUGAAGAAGGUCUUCGGAUUGUAAAGCACUUUAAGUUGGGAGGAAGGGCAGUAAGUUAAUACCUUGCUGUUUUGACGUUACCGACAGAAUAAGCACCGGCUAACUUCGUGCCAGCAGCCGCGGUAAUACGAAGGGUGCAAGCGUUAAUCGGAAUUACUGGGCGUAAAGCGCGCGUAGGUGGUUUUGUAAGUUGGAGGUGAAAUCCCCGGGCUCAACCUGGGAACUGCCUCCAAAACUACAUGACUAGAGUACGGUAGAGGGUAGUGGAAUUUCCUGUGUAGCGGUGAAAUGCGUAGAUAUAGGAAGGAACACCAGUGGCGAAGGCGACUACCUGGACUGAUACUGACACUGAGGUGCGAAAGCGUGGGGAGCAAACAGGAUUAGAUACCCUUGUAGUCC
rnacentral:rRNA from 1 species